rnacentral:rRNA from 1 species
UGGGGAAUAUUGGGCAAUGGACGGAAGUCUGACCCAGCCAUGCCGCGUGCAGGAAGAAGGCGCUCAGCGUUGUAAACUGCUUUUAUCGGGGAAGAACGGCAGUCCUGCGGGAUUGUGUGACGGUACUCGAGGAAUAAGCACCGGCUAACUCCGUGCCAGCAGCCUCGGUAAUACGGAGGGUGCGAGCGUUGUCCGGAUUUAUUGUGUUUAACGUGUGCGUAGGUGGUUGAGUAAGUCUUGUUUGAAAGUCAGUCGCUUAACGAUUGAGGGUGGCUGGAUAAUGCUGAACUUGAAUGACGUGGAGGUAGGUGGAACGGGUUGGGUAGCGGUGAAAUGCAUAGAUAUGACCCAGAACACAAAUUGCGAAGGCAGCCUACUACGGGGUGAUUGACAAUGAGGCACGAGAGCAUGGGGAGCAAACA